rnacentral:rRNA from 1 species
GAUGAACGCUGGCGGCGUGCCUAAUACAUGCAAGUCGAGCGAACAGACGAGGAACUUGCUCCUCUGACGUUAGCGGCGGACGGGUGAGUAACACGUGGAUAACCUACCUAUAAGACUGGGAUAACUUCGGGAAACCGGAGCUAAUACCGGAUAAUAUAUUGAACCGCAUGGUUCAAUAGUGAAAGACGGUUUUGCUGUCACUUAUAGAUGGAUCCGUGCCGCAUUAGCUAGUUGGUAAGGUAACGGCUUACCAAGGCGACGAUGCGUAGCCGACCUGAGAGGGUGAUCGGCCACACUGGAACUGAGACACGGUCCAGACUCCUACGGGAGGCAGCAGUAGGGAAUCUUCCGCAAUGGGCGAAAGCCUGACGGAGCAACGCCGCGUGAGUGAUGAAGGUCUUCGGAUCGUAAAACUCUGUUAUUAGGGAAGAACAAAUGUGUAAGUAACUAUGCACGUCUUGACGGUACCUAAUCAGAAAGCCACGGCUAACUACGUG